rnacentral:rRNA from 1 species
AGCAGCCGCGGUAAUUCCAGCUCCAAUAGCGUAUAUUAGUGUUGUUGCGGUUAAAAGCUGUAGUUGAAUUUCGGGAUUGGGAUAUAUCGGUCGUGCCUUUAGGGGCAUGAAACGGUGUUAGCCAAUUUCUCACCUUCUGGUGAGUCGGGAUGCUCUUGGGUGUUUCGAUGAAUCAGGCCUUUACUUUGAAAAAUUAGAGUGUUUAAAGCGGGCAUUUUUGCUUGAAU